UUAUGUUUAAUAUACAUCUAAUAUAUUUAACUUCCAAUUAAAAUAUCUCGUAAGAGAACAUAAA
rnacentral:tRNA from 1 species